GGAAUGCAUUUUAUUAAGUUUUUUAAGUUUGUUCUAUAAAUGACGUCAUAUAUAAAGCUAUUAUAAUAACUUGUCACCUUUUCAUGUUUAUGUUCUCUUUUCAAUAAGAUGCAAGAACAAUCAAUUAGUUUUAUUUGUGAAGCGAAAGCCGGUAAAGUGCGUGUUUAAAAAUUAAGAAACAAAUGUACAGUUUGUAUUAAAAUAUUCUUUAAAAAAAUAUAUUCUGAUUAUAACUGAAAUAAAACGUCAUAAAUUAAUAAUUGUGCAGACUGCAAUUUAUGCCGGCCACAAUUUCUGUAGAAGUGACGUUGAAAAUAUCAACAACAUGUUAAUAAAUUUAAUUAUAGAUCCACUUCUGCAUCUAUUUUGUGUCCUUUGUGAAAAAAAAGAACGUGACUUUUAUUUAGAAAUAUGCAAUUUUACAGAUAAAUGCAAAAAUAUAUUUAUAUCUUUGAAAAGUGAGCACCUUGUUUCCAAAAGAAGACCUAUUCGAAAAUCUGGUAGAAGAGGUGGUGUCAACUAAAGGGGAACUGACGCAGAAAAAGGAUGGAUUUAGAUUUUAAGGUUCUCCAGGAAAAAUAUUCAACAAUUGCUGAAAGUGACGAAAAAUUUAUAAAAAUAUUCAACUACUUAAAAAGUCAUGAAACUAUUUAUAAUAAUGAAAUUAAAAAUGUUGUCAACAGUUUGCAGUGGGAUGAUAUAGAAAAAGAUAAAAAUGGAUUUCUCCUGAAAAUAUUAUGGUGUGUUCACUACUUUUUACCCCCAAACAAAGAAAUUUCUUAAAAAAGACGUCAAUGGAAAAAGGAUUUUGGAAAAUUUUCCAAAGGUGAACCAAUUCAACCUAUUAUUUUAGGACGUGGGGAUCCCAAAAGUUUUAAUAUAUCAAAAUAUUAUGUGUUCUUGAUUCUUUUUUGAUAGAGUUUAACGACUUUUAUAAAGCCUUAGAUAUUUGUUUUAAAACAUUUUAUAUUUUUAAUGUGGAGUAUCCAUUGCCUUCUUCAAAUUUUUGGUGUUUUGUAGAACAUUUUUUUAUAACAUUGAUAAAACAAGUAUUACCAUUAAUAAUUAUUAAUUAAUUUAUAAAUUGAAUAAUUGUAAUAUUUUUUUAACUUCCAGUUUGAGAAUAUAUAUUAAAA